UUGUACUGGUUUAAUUCUGGAGAGAAGAGUGGGUUUGAUUUGACUGGAUAUGCUUUAAAAUAAUGGAGCGAAGUUGGGUUGUUUUGAUUGGCUUCUUUGGAAAAAAAUUUGGAGGGGGAAAAAAGAGAAUUUAUAGAGGGUGCCUUCAGCAGAGUUUUAGUGCAAGCUGCCGUCAGAGUCAGAAGCAGAGUCAGAGUGAAUCAGAGCUGGAAUUGAGAAGAACUGGGAAGAGCUGCUAGAAAGAGAGCUGAGAAAUCACUGGGAGAGUAAGACUUAAUGGAGAACUGAAUCACUCUCAAAGCAGCUGAAGACACGGUCUGAGAUUGAACCCCCAGAACUGGGAAGGAAGAUCAGGACCUGAGGUAGAGCAAAGGACAAUCUAGGAGUGAUUGCAAGAGGACUCUGGUCCUUAGGGAACAGAGGAACCGACUAAUCAUCUAGCCGUCAGAAUGUCAUUUACACAAUAUAUACGCUUCAGUACCUGAGAGAUUUGCUCAAGCCUUUGAAUACUGGUGUGUUCAUGAAACAAGCUUAAUGUAUCAUCUCAUAGAUGGAAAAUUAUUGUUGAGCUUUACUUUAAAAAGGAUCCCCACUGGGACAAACUUCUAAACAACAAAAUAUAAAAGAUACUGAAUACAACAAAUUGCAUUGGUCAAUUGAUGUAUGGAGGCUUUCUUGGUUGCUGUGGAUUGUCUUCCUGCAUUACCAACCCACGAAUUUGGCCAGAGUUGGGUAGUGGCAUACAGUCUGAAUCCUGACAUCUCUUAAGUUACCAGUUCAAGGACUACUGUGAUCUUGAGUUGGUCUUGGCCAUCUUGGCUGGCCAUGUCAUAGGCAACCUAACCAGUCAUUUGGGGUGAAAAUACUUCUAGGAACUUCAGUGAAACAGCGGAAUCUGAGAAGUGUCUUGUCAGGGUGGAUCUCUGAAGUAUUACAGAGGAUGCUGAGGUGCAUCUUUUGCACCAGCAAGCAUCCUCUGCAAUGCUGCCCAACAUUAUGGGGCAGUCUUCUCUGACAAUAUGAUGCUGCCUGCUCAGGGAGCAAAACAUGUUGAGCUGGCCCUGCUAAUUAUCUGUUCCAUUAAUUUCUCUAAUUUGAGAAACCAUUUAUAUUCUUGGAUUUAACCUUUUUCCAGGACAGUGAGUUUCCACAAAUUGAUUGCAUGCUGUGUGAAAAAAACUAUUUCCUUUGUUUUGAAUUAGAUAAUCAGAUGUCUCUCAUUUGAGGGGCAAAAUUACAUUUUAUAUUAAGCCUAUCAUUAGUAUUGAUGGACCUAACUUUUCUUUUAAAAACAGCAGGCAGUUCAGGCUCCCCACAGAUGAGAAGUGUGGUUGGGGUAGAGGGGCUUUAACCAUAGCCCCCACCACAGUGCCAAUCUGGAUUUCUCCCUCCCCUAUGACUGCUAUUUGAAAAUAAGAAAAAGUUCCCACUGAUAUCAAUGAUGGGCUUCAUCUAAUGUGUUGUUUGGCCUACUGAAGGCCGAUUUGGCCUUCAGUACUAUGCACCUAUGCAUGUUCCAUGCCAUGCAUAAUGUUCCUCCAAUUAAACUCUGUUUUGGAUUUUGGCUCAAGGGAGACUGGCUUUCACUAGAAAUAGGGUCUUUUCUGUAGGGUCAUCCUUCUUGGGAUGUUGCAGCAGAAGCAAGCCACCUGCUUCUGUAAGAGUGCUUACAAAAGCCAUGAAAACAUUUUUAUUCUGCUAAGCAUUUGGGAGUUAGUGCUCUACUGAGCUUGUAUGUGUUUUGUCAUCAACUGCUGCUGCUAUUAAAAAAAAUUAGUUAUGUUUUAUUACAAUGUUGACUGAUAUAUCUGUUUUGGUCAUGGUGAUGAUUUAAAUUGUGAGUGCUUAGAAGGCCUUGAAGCUGAGUCAGCACAACAACAACAACAACAACAACAAUAUAUUGAACAAUGGCUAACAACUGGGAAAACUCAUCUCAUAAUGAAAGACCCAGCAAAAGGUGCAGUUCCAAGUAAUUAUAGACCGAUGACCUGCCUGCCAACCAUGUUCAAAUUAUUAACUGGAAUAAUAGCAGAUGAAAUGAUGCUACACUUAUUAACUAACAAACAGCUUCCAGUUGAACUGAAAUGAAAUUGCCCGAACACCAGAGGCACAAAAGACCAGCUGCUGAUUGACAAAAUGAUUUUAGAAAAUUGCAAGAGAAGAAAAACCAAUCUAAGUGUUGCAUGGAUUGACUACAAGAAAGCCUUCGAUUCAUUGCCUCACACAUGGAUACUAAAAUGUUUAGAAACAACUGGUGUCAGCAAAAACAUUCAGAUAUUUAUAAAAAAAGCAAUGAGCAGGUGGAGUACACAGUUAACAAUCAAUGGCGAGACACUUGGACAGGUUAGCAUUAGAAGAGGCAUUUUCCAAGGGGACUCACUAUCCCCUCUGUUGUUUGUAAUCUCCAUGACCCCACUUUCACAAAUACUAAACAAAACAGGCCUUGGACUGGACCUAGGCAGAGCUAGAGACUCUAGAUCGUAAGGCCAGGAAAAUCAUGACCAUCAAUCAUGCUCUGCACCCCCGCAGUGAUGUAGAUAGGCUAUACCUCCCCCGCAGCUCAGGUGGAAGAGGAAUGCUGCAAGUCCAUCAAACAGUAGAGGAGGAGAAAAGAGGCCUUGAAGAAUAUAUCAAGGACAGUGAAGAAGAUGCAUUUCAAAUGGUCAAUAACUCGAAACUAUUCAACACCAAUGAAACAAGGCAGGCCUACAAGAAAGAACAAGUCAAGAACCGAGCAGAGAAAUGGGAAAAGAAGCCCCUGCAUGGUCAAUAUUUGCACAAUAUAAGUGGAAAAUCAGACAACACUAAGACCUGGCAAUGGCUUAAGAAUAGCAAUUUGAAGAAAGAAACAGAGGGUUUGAUACUAGGGAUGUGCACGAUAUUUAUCGGCGCU